rnacentral:rRNA from 1 species
GCUCGUAGUUGAAUUUCGACUAAUGGUUAUUGAGGAUUAAACUAAGUUUAAUUCCUUUUUAACGUUAAUCUUCUUUCAAAAUGACUAAGUCGUUUUGAUAUUUUACUUUGAAAAAAUUAGAGUGUUUCAAGCAGACAAAUGUCUGGAUAUUACAGCAUGGAAUAAAUGAAAAGGACGUGAGCUAAAGUUUGUUGGUUUCUUUGGGCAAAUGUAAUGACUAACAGGGACAGUUGGGGUCGCUCGUAUUGGUUCGCUAGGGGUGAAAUCCUAUGAUUGAAUCACGACGUACUACUGCGAAAGCAUUCGACAAGGAUGUCUUCAUUAAUCAAGAACGAAAGUUGGGGGAUCGAAGAUGAUCAGAUACCGCCGUAGUCUCAACCGUAAACAAUGUCGACCAAAGAUUGGGAAAUAUUACAUGGAUGAUUUUACCAGCAUUUUAUGAGAAAUCAUAAGUAUUCAGACUCCGGGGGGAGUAUGGUUGCAAGACUGAAACUUAAAGGAAUUGACGGAAGGGCACCACCAGGAGUGGAACCUGCGGCUUAAUUUGACCCAACACGGGGAAACUUACCGGGUCCGGACACUAGAAGGAUUGACAGACUGAUAGAUCUUUCUUGAUUUAGUGAUUGGUGGUGCAUGGCCGUUUUUAGUUGGUGGAUUGAUUUGUCUGGUUAAUUCCGUAAGCGAACGAGACCUUAACCUAUUAAAUAGUUCGUUUAAUCAGAUUUGCAAGAGUUAGUUAAUUGAAGAAGUGAGACUUCUUAGAGGGACUCUUUACAUUUUAGUAAAGGGAAGUUUAAGGCAACGACAGGUCUGCGAUGCCCUUCGAUGUUCCGGGCUGCACGCGCGUUACACUGAUGUCUUCAA